UGGAUUUCAUCCAAGUACAUUCUGUUUCUUGAUAUGAGGCCAGACUUUGCUGAGUUAUGGUGCCAUUUUCUUCUGCCUGCUCUCCUCCCAGUUCCUCUAUUAUCAUUCUCAUUGCUGAGUGUUACUAGCACCCCUUAGCCCAAGGGAAGAGCCGAGCCCUGCCCCAUGCCUGCUCCUGACAGCAGUCGGAGCAGGCGAGCUGGAACUGCAGUGAAUGACUUCUUCAACGAGCCUGCUGGUUGAGCUGUCCCCAGCUCAGCCUGUCACUGAGAGCUAUGUCUGAAAUCAGCUGAAGCAGAAAACAUUUGAACUCUACACCCUGCCAAAUACCUUCCAGAUGUGUAAGAUUUAGCCUUGCUGUGGACUCUGACUGUAGCUCUGCCAACGUGUUGACAGCAGCCAGGCCCAGGUCAGGGGAGGUGACUCAAGAGGAUCACUGAGCCAGGGAAAGAUGGAGGAAGAAACAUGAAGACGCAGCAGGAUUAGUGCUGAACUCCAAGGCUGGUGUCACUGGCAGAAGUUGUUCUUUUUUAUCAUGAGUUAGUCUACAUGACACCAAGCCUACUGGCAGCAUAUGGAGUAUGCCUUUCCCAAACAGAGAAAAGGAUCAAUGUGGAGGAGUUAGCAAGGAAACAAGAACAGAAACAUGGCCCUGCCUCCAUACGGACAGUUUCCAAGACUGAUGGGAUACACCUGACCAGGUGGUAUCAGCAUCCAGUCCUGUUUUGUGCUGUAGUAUUGCCUCAACCCCAGCAAGCUUUGGGCAGAACAGGACUGCGAGGCUGCAGAAACAGCCCUUGACCCCCUUGACCUCUCUGCUCUAUUAUGAGCAAAAGCUGACUUCUGUGCAAACCCCCUGCAGUAAUGGCAUUUGGAGGAAGCUGUGAAUCCCUCUGAAAGUGCUCUGUGGUGGGGUCUGGGAUGGAACUUCAGCCCCAGAAAAGUCAGCUGUGCAGCUUGAGUGGAGAGUCCCACCUGUCCCAGAGGAAGGGAAGCUCCUGGAGAUGCCCACCUCGACCCACAGCAUCAUGCUUUCCUGUGCUGGCCAGCAGAUUGGUGAACACCUUGAAGCUGGCUACUGGGGUCUCUGUGCACAAAAGAUCCUCCCCAGGUUUCUCUCUGAGGUUAACGGGCAAUGUUGUUCCGCAUCAAGAGUGGAAGACAGGAUCUAAAAGUGAUCAGCCUUUAUAAACAUGUCUAAGUGAACCCCGGAAGAGAUGCCAGACUACUGAACAAAACAGCAAACAAAGGUGGGCCUGUGGAAGGUGUGUUUGACAGCAGGGCUAUUCACUGCUGCUCUCAGAGUGCUAGUGAGCCAUGGCAAGGAUCAGUCUGAACUUGAGUGAGGUCUUUGGUUCUGCAACAUAACUAUAGGCUGCAUUGCCUUCUCCAUGCAAUAUUUAGGACAAAGAAUAGCUCUCUGGAAGAGUGCUUUCCUGAGCCAUUCAGGCUUUUCCCUUGCUCAGCAUGGGUACAGUGUUCCCUCCAUGGCAUUCAGGGGAAGGUUGUGCAAGUCUGAGGCUUGGAGAGCUGUGCCAGGACCUGCAUGUUGGGCAAUGCCAUCUGUGGCUUCCGGCACAGCCCAGGCAGCACACCUCAGCCCUGGGAAGGUGUGCUCUCCCAGCCCACAGCAGCCCCAGCAGCAGAGCAUGGCCAUUCCCCUGCUGCCCCACUCCUGCACCAGACCUGCCGUUUUCUGCACCUCAUGGGAAUGGCGGGGCGUGGUGGCUGAGCUCCAGGGGUGGUGGAGCAAAAGCUCAAUCAGCUCAGCAGGCAGGCUUUGCGGGGGCAGUGGAAAACACCUCGGAAAGAGAGGGAAAGUCAUGUACAGAUCAGCAGAGCAAACAAAGAAACAAAGGAGCGCAGACAUUAGAACUUACACCCUCUCAGUGAGCCACGAGAUGAAUGCAGAGAGGGAGGCAAACUCCAAGAGCCUGUAAGAUGCCCGAGCUGAAGAAAAGCAGAGGAAAAGGAGUUCAGGGGAAGCUACUAGCCCAUCUGGAGAAGAUCAAGCUCCCGUAAAAAUUUCAUGGAGCAGAGUCAGCUCUUGCUGAACUUGUUUAAGCUUUGACAAUAGUACAUCCAAAAAAAGAAUGUCUGGCCCUUCAUAAAGGGAGGAGGUAGCCAACUGGCAGUCCGAAACCCAAGAGAACCACUGUGUCUCACCUGUCCUGUGCAAAUCCAUAGUACUCCCCAGAAGAUCCUUCUGGCAAGAUGAUUUUACCAGCAUGGAUGGGCAAUGAUGAGUGCCUGUUUUUCUGCUUCACCAUAUGUAAUCGAGAUGGGGAUAGUAAUUGCUUAAAUUUUAGGGAAGUUUUAAAAUAUCUAAAUAUCUGUAUUCUUACAGUUGCCUGUAGCCCUUGACUUUGUGACUUUAAAACUGUCGUGGUUUGAGAGGAAAUGAGUUUUUGGGAGGUGGUGGUGGUCAAACCAGUA